CUCUCCUGCCUUUCUGUAUUUCUGGAUUGCCUCUGUAUUUCCCCCCUCUCUCCCUCCCUCCUCUUUUCCAGGAACCAUGACAGGCUGGAGAUACCUCUUCCUGGGAUUCAAGCAAACACCUUCCCCUCACACCCCUGGCUGGGAAGAUAAUAUGUCCUAAGAGACAGAAGAGCGCUGGGCCCAUUUGUUCCAGCAGAAAUGAAUUCACUAGGAAGAGGCCGGGAAUUUUUCCUCUCAUCGUUAUCUGACCCAGAAUCUGCAAGACGCAGAGGCAGAGCUGACUUUGGCCUCAGGCACCGGGCACCGUUGACCACCCCAAAUCUUUCUUCCUUCAAUGUCCUCGUUCCAGAUUUUCAGUCGAGACAGCAGGUACACCUAGCCUAGGACUGAGCAGCACUACUGCCCUUAACAGACCAGAAAUUGUGGGACAGAGAGCUAGGGAGUCUCCUCCAAGGUCUCAUUGCUGAAAAGUGACAGCAAAGAAGAUUCUACAACCCCUCCCCCACCAGAGUUUUAUGUUUCUGUGCAGACCCCUCCCCUC